UAGUUCAACUAAAUUGAAGAGAAGUAAAAAGAUAUAAUACUUUCAUGCGUAUAGCGACGAAGUGUGUCACUUGAGUCGUACUGAAGUGAUAAGUAGCAUCAAACUACGUAGUAUUCUUUAUUAAAAUAUAAUGGCGAGUGACGAACCAAAGUUGACUGGCAUCCUAAAAUAUUAUAAUAGUGUCACUGAUCGUGGUCGGUUUAAUGUAGCUGUGUCAACGCUUGGUGGGCUAGCACUUUUAGGUGUAUAUCUGUAUUUUAAACCAAAAAAAUCAGCUAAUAAUGGAUAAAGAAUUAUUCCGGUAGAUCUGUUAUUAUGUAAUAAAAAUUCGUGUACCAUUUACUUAUGAAAAUAGAAUCAUCUAAUAAAAAAAUAUAUUAAAUAAAGCAGUAUUGUAAA